rnacentral:lncRNA from 1 species
AGAUGGAGCUGUGUCUUAGGGCGUGUUUGGAAGGUUGGAGUUCUGAACCACCUGGUUAAGUGGUUUUUGAAGCUUUCAAUGAGUACUACAAUGGUAACUGCAAAGAAGUGGCUUGCAAGUGUGGAUUCAGGCUGGAAUAAUGCCCUCUACACAAAACCUCAGAUAAGAGGUAUGCAGAUGUAGCCCCUGUCUGAAAUGGGAGGUGUCUUGCACAAAGCUGAUAAGAGGUAUGCAGAUGUAGCCCCUGUCUGAAAUGGGAGGUGUCUUGCACAAAGCUGAUGCUGGAAAGACAUGUGGAUUGUGGCUGUUGCAGUAGGUGACCAGGUCAAGUUAGUCAGAAUCUGCCUUCUGAGCCCUUGGAUGCAGUGGAGCCCUGUUGAUGCUACAGCCUUGACAUUUGCCACAGCCUGUAAUUUUAGACCAGAGGUCUUUUGCUCUGACCUUAAAUCUAGAUUGGAAAGUGCCAUUAUUAAAAGAGAAUGAGAAGUUGAGUAGUGUGGGAUAUUUAUUUUAUUUAUUAUUUUUUUAUUUUUUGUAGUUUCUCCUUUUCUACCUCAAUGUAUUUUUCUAAGGUUUGAUUGAAAUUAUUUCGUUGCCCCUUAUACAUUGACUUGUACAGCUUUGUAUAACUUAUGCUUUGCAUGUAUAUGCUGUUAUCAUUACGGUUUUAUUCCAAAGCCUAUGAUCAGACAAUGUCUACGUAAAAAUAAAGUAAUGCUGG